AGAUAGGAAAACUCCGUUCCGAAACGGGGGCAAUGCCGACUGUCACCAGAGAGAGAGCAUGCCCGUAGCUUAUCGAAAGGGAAUCGGGUUAAUAUUCCCGAACCGGGACACGGAGACGGGUCCUUCGGGAUCCAGUGUGGCAACACAAACGAACUCGGAGACGUCGGCGCAAGUCCCGGGAAGAGUUCUCUUUUCUUUGUAAGGAACGGACUCCCUGGAAUCGGUUUGCCCGGAGAUAGGGACGUUGUUUCCGUAAAGCACCGCGGCUCUUUNG
rnacentral:rRNA from 1 species